rnacentral:rRNA from 1 species
AACGCUGGCGGCAGGCCUAAACCUGCAAUUCGGGGGAGGGUACUCAUAGCCUGGUAUCCGGGACGAGCGGCGGACGGGUGAGUAAUGUCUGGGAAACUGCCUGAUGGAGGGGGAUAACUACUGGAAACGGUAGCUAAUACCGCAUAAUGUCGCAAGACCAAAGAGGGGGACCUUCGGGCCUCUUGCCAUCAGAUGUGCCCAGAUGGGAUUAGCUAGUAGGUGGGGUAAUGGCUCACCUAUGCGACGAUCCCUAGCUGGUCUGAGAGGGUGACCAACCGCCCUGGAACUUUGACACGGUCCCCACUCCUACCGGAGGUAUCAGUGGGGAAUAUUUUUCAAUGGGCGCAAGCCUGAUGCAGCCAUGCCGCGUGUAUGAA